rnacentral:rRNA from 1 species
UACGUAGGGGGCAAGCGUUGUCCGGAUUUAUUGGGCGUAAAGAGCGUGUAGGCGGCCAAGCAGGUCCGCUGUGAAAACUCGAGGCUCAACCUCGAGAGGUCGGUGGAAACCGUUUGGCUAGAGUCCGGAAGAGGAGAGUGGAAUUCCCGGUGUAGCGGUGAAAUGCGCAGAUAUCGGGAAGAACACCCGUGGCGAAGGCGGCUCUCUGGGACGGUACUGACACUGAGGAGCGAAAGCGUGGGGAGCAAACAGG